rnacentral:rRNA from 1 species
CCUACGGGGGGCAGCAGUGGGGAAUAUUGCACAAUGGGGGAAACCCUGAUGCAGCGACGCCGCGUGAGUGAAGAAGUAUUUCGGUAUGUAAAGCUCUAUCAGCAGGGAAGAAAAUGACGGUACCUGACCAAGAAGCCCCGGCUAACUACGUGCCAGCAGCCGCGGUAAUACGUAGGGGGCAAGCGUUAUCCGGAUUUACUGGGUGUAAAGGGAGCGUAGACGGUUGUGCAAGUCAGAAGUGAAAGCCCGGGGCUCAACCCCGGGACUGCUUUGGAAACUGUGAAACUGGAGUGCAGGAGAGGUAAGCGGAAUUCCUGGUGUAGCGGUGAAAUGCGUAGAUAUCAGGAGGAACACCAGUGGCGAAGGCGGCUUACUGGACUGUAACUGACGUUGAGGCUCGAAAGCGUGGGGAGCAAACAGGAUUAGAUACCCCAGUAGUC